AAUUCGAGCUCGGUACCCGGGGAUCCUCUAGAGAUUGGUUACCUUGUUACGACUUAGUCCCAGUCACCAGCUUCGCCGUGGGCACCACUGAAAUGUGGCGACUUAAGGCGCUGCCAGCUUCCAUGACUUGACGGGCGGUGUGUACAAGGCUCAGGAACGUAUUCACCGCGGCGUAGCUGAUCCGCGAUUACUAGCGAUUCCAACUUCAUGCAGGCGAAUUGCAGCCUGCAAUCCGAACUGGGGCCGGCUUUAAGCGAUUUGCUCCACCUUGCGGUAUUGCGUCGUUCUGUACCGGCCAUUGUAGCACGUGUGCAGCCCUGGGCAUAAAGGCCAUGCGGACUUGACGUCAUCCCCACCUUCCUCCGAUUUGACACCGGCGGUCUCGCUAGAGUCCCCGACAUUACUCGCUGGCAACUAACGACAGGGGUUUCGCUCGUUAAAGGACUUAACCUAACACCUCACGGCACGAGCUGACGACAGCCAUGCAGCACCUGUGCACGUUCCACCCGAAGGCGUCACUCCCCUUUCAAGGAGCUAAUCCGUGCAUGUCAAACCCAGGAUAAGGUUCUUCGCGUUGCUUCGAAUUAAGCCACAUGCUCCACCGCUUGUGUGAGCCCCCGUCAAUUCCUUUGAGUUUUAGCCUUGCGACCGUACUCCCCAGGCGGUGCACUUAACACUUUUGCUUCGACCGAGAAUAGUGUCAGAACUCCCUCGAUCUAGUGCACAUCGUUUACGGCGUGGACUACCGGGGUAUCUAAUCCCGUUCGCUCCCCACGCUUUCGUACCUCAGCGUCAGAAUAGGCCCAGCUGUCUGCCUUCGCCUUUGGCGUUCCGAUAGAUAUCAACGCAUUUCACCGCUCCACCUAUCGUUCCGACAGCCCCUACCCACCUCAAGACAUGCGGUUCACCCUGCAGUUCCUCGGUUGAGCCGAGGGAUUUCACAAGAUGCCUGCAUGUCCGCCUACGUACGCUUUAAGCCCAGUGAUUCCGCGCAACGCUCGGGCCCUUCGUAUUACCGCGGCUGCUGGCACGAAGUUAGCCGGCCCUUCCUUUGAGUCUGCUCAUUGGGCUGCUGAACUCUGACAGCAGUUUACACCCCUAGGGGCUUCAUCCUGCACGCGGCAUUGCUCCGUCACGCUUUCGCGCAUUGCGGAAGAUUCGUUGCUGCAGCCUCCCGUAGGAGUCCGGGCAGUGUCUCAGUCCCGAUGCGGCGGGUCAUGCUCUCACACCCGCUACCCGUCAAAGGCUUGGUGAGCCGUUACCUCACCAACAACCUGAUAGGACAUUCCCCGCUCCCAAGGCGACCGAAGCCUUUGAUGCCGAAGCACCACAUCGAGUAUUACUCCAAGUUUCCCUGGGCUAUCCUCGACCUUGGGGUACGUAGAAAUGUAUUCCUCGCCCUUACGCCACUUUAUACACCCCCGAAGGGGCUUUAAUCGUUCGACUUGCAUGCUUUAACCAUGCCGCCAGCGUUCGCGCUGAGCCAGGAUCAAACUCUAAUCGUCGACCUGCAGGCAUGCAAGCUUGG
rnacentral:rRNA from 1 species